rnacentral:rRNA from 1 species
UACCAGCACCCCGAGUGGUCGGGACGUUUAUUGGGCCUAAAGCAUCCGUAGCCGGUUCUACAAGUCUUCCGUUAAAUCCAGCUGCUUAACAGAUGGGCUGCGGAAGAUACUAUGGAGCUAGGAGGCGGGAGAGGCAAGCGGUACUCGAUGGGUAGGGGUAAAAUCCGUUGAUCCAUUGAAGACCACCAGUGGCGAAGGCGGCUUGCCAGAACGCGCCCGACGGUGAGGGAUGAAAGCUGGGGGAGCAAACCGG